UGUGGUCGGUGUACAGGUGGUGCAUGGCUGUCGUCAGCUCGUGUCGUGAGAUGUUGGGUUAAGUCCCGCAACGAGCGCAACCCUUGUCCCGUGUUGCCAGCAGGCCCUUGUGGUGCUGGGGACUCACGGGAGACCGCCGGGGUCAACUCGGAGGAAGGUGGGGACGACGUCAAGUCAUCAUGCCCCUUAUGUCUUGGGCUGCACACGUGCUACAAUGGCCGGUACAAUGAGCUGCGAUACCGCGAGGUGGAGCGAAUCUCAAAAAGCCGGUCUCAGUUCGGAUUGGGGUCUGCAACUCGACCCCAUGAAGUCGGAGUCGCUAGUAAUCGCAGAUCAGCAUUGCUGCGGUGAAUACGUUCCCGGGCCUUGUACACACCGCCCGUCACGUCACGAAAGUCGGUAACACCCGAAGCCGGUGGCCCAACCC
rnacentral:rRNA from 1 species